rnacentral:rRNA from 1 species
GACGGGGGAUGCGAGCGUUAUCCGGAAUGAUUGGGCGUAAAGGGUCCGCAGGUGGCCCGGUCAGUCCGCUGUCAAAGCCUGGGGCUCAACCCUGGAGAGGCGGCGGAGACCACCGGGCUUGAGUCCGGUAGGGGCAGAGGGAAUUCCCGGUGUAGCGGUGAAAUGCGUAGAUAUCGGGAAGAACACCAGUGGCGAAAGCGCUCUACUGGGCCAUAACUGACACUGAGGGACGAAAGCUAGGGGAGCGAAAGGG